AACUUUUAACAAUGGAUCACUUGGUUCUGGCAUCGAUGAAGAACGCAGAGAAAUGCGAUAAGUAAUGUGAGUUGCAGAAUUCAGUGAAUCAUCGAAUCUUUGAACGCACAUUGCGCCCCUUGGUAUUCCGAGGGGCAUGCCUGUUCGAGCGUCAUUAUAACCACUCAAGCCUCGGCUUGGUCUUGGGGUUCGCGGUCUCGCGGAGUUUAAAAUCAGUGGCGGUGCCGUCUGGCUCUAAGCGUAGUAAUUCUCUCGCUAUAGGGUCCUGGUGGUUACCUGUCAGAAUCCCCCCAUUUUUUACGGUUGACCUCGGAUCAGGUAGGGAUACCCGCUGAACUUAAGCAUAUCAAUAAGCGGAGGCU
rnacentral:misc_RNA from 1 species